GAUGAACGCUGGCGGCGUGCCUAACCUAUGCAAGCCGCACGAUUAAAGCACCUUCGGGGGUGUAUAAAGAGGCGCACGGGUGAGUAACAGGUGACCAACCUGCCUUCCACUUUGGGAUAACUCGGAGAAAUUCAAGCCAAUACCGAAUACUCCUGCACCUUUGCAUGCAGGCGCGGGGACAGUUCCGGCGGUGAAAGAUGGGGUCGCGGUCUAGUAGCUAGCUGGUGAGGUAAGGGCUCACCAAGGCGAUGAUAGAUAGCCGGGUUGUGAGGGCGACCGGCCAGAUUGGGACUGAGACACAGCCCAAACUCCUACGGGUGGCAGCAGUGGGGAAUUUUGCGCAAGGGGCGAAAGCCUGACGCAGCAACGCCGCGUGCGGGAUUGAAGGCCUUCGGGUCGUAAACCGCUUUCAGUAGGGAAGAUUAUGACGGUACCUACAGAAGAAGCUCCGGCUAAAUACGUGCCAGCCGCCGCCGUAA
rnacentral:rRNA from 1 species